rnacentral:rRNA from 1 species
AAUGAACGCUGGCGGCAGGCCUAACACAUGCAAGUCGAACGGAUCCUUCGGGAUUAGUGGCGGACGGGUGAGUAACGCGUGGGAACAUACCCAAAGGUACGGAAUAGCCUCGGGAAACUGGGAGUAAUACCGUAUGUGCUCGAAAGAGGAAAGAUUUAUCGCCUUUGGAUUGGCCCGCGUUGGAUUAGGUAGUUGGUGGGGUAAUGGCCUACCAAGCCGACGAUCCAUAGCUGGUUUGAGAGGAUGAUCAGCCACACUGGGACUGAGACACGGCCCAGACUCCUACGGGCGGCAGCAGUGGGGAAUCUUAGACGCUGGGGGAAAACCUGAUCUAGCCAUGCCGCGUGAUCGAUGAAGGCCUUAGGGUUGUAAAGAUCUUUCAGGUGGGAAGAUAAUGACUGUACCACCAGAAGAAGCCCCGGCUAACUCCGUGCCAGCCGCCGCAGUAA